rnacentral:rRNA from 1 species
AACGCGAAGAACCUUACCUGGGCUUGACAUACACUAGAUCGCUGCAGAGAUGUAGUUUCCCUUUGUGGUUGGUGUACAGGUGGUGCAUGGUUGUCGUCAGCUCGUGUCGUGAGAUGUUGGGUUAAGUCCCGCAACGAGCGCAACCCUUGUCUUAUGUUGCCAGCAUUUGGUUGGGGACUCAUGAGAGACUGCCGGGGUUAACUCGGAGGAAGGUGGGGAUGACGUCAAAUCAUCAUGCCCCUUAUGUCCAGGGCUUCACACAUGCUACAAUGGUCGGUACAACGCGUUGCGACACUGUGAGGUGGAGCGAAUCGCUGAAAGCCGGCCUUAGUUCGGAUUGGGGUCUGCAACUCGACCCCAUGAAGUCGGAGUCGCUAGUAAUCGCAGAUCAGCAAUGCUGCGGUGAAUACGUUCCCGGGCCGUUGUACACACCG